rfam:New Mapoon virus strain CY1014 polyprotein gene, complete cds
GGGAGUCAGACCACUUAGUGCCACCAGUAUGAUGAUAAGCUGGUGCUGUCUGUCCUCAUCCCCAGGAGGACUGGGU